GACGAACGCUGGCGGCGUGCUUAACACAUGCAAGUCGAACGGUGAAGCUCCAGCUUUCUGGCGUGGAUCAGUGGCGAACGGGUGAGUAACACGUGAGCAACCUGCCCCUGACUCUGGAAUAAGCGCUGGAAACGGCGUCUAAUACUGGAUACGAGAAGGGUCCGCAUGGGCACUUUCUGGAAAGUUCUUCGGUUGGGGAUGGGCUCGCGGCCUAUCAGCUUGUUGGUGUGGUAAUGGCUCACCAAGGCUACGACGGGUAGCCGGCCUGAGAGGGCGACCGGCCACACUGGGACUGAGACACGGCCCAGACUCCUACGGGAGGCAGCAGUGGGGAAUAUUGCACAAUGGGCGAAAGCCUGAUGCAGCGACGCCGCGUGAGGGAUGACGGCCUUCGGGUUGUAAACCUCUUUCAGCAGGGAAGAAGCGAAAGUGACGGUACCUGCAGAAGAAGCACCGGCUAACUACGUG
rnacentral:rRNA from 1 species